GACGGAGCUGAGUUUCUCUCUGACAGUCUGCUGAAAGUGUUUGCAAAGUGAUCGGGGGAACAGGGCACAAAGCUAAAGGAUGUAGCUGCCAUUAUGACAUCAAGGAUGACAUUAAUGCUCGGAGUCCCUCAUCAAAGUGCUCCGCAUCUGUGUGAAAGACAAUUGCAACAUCUUGGUGCAGGAGUUCAUGGACUUGACUGAGGCCACUGCACAGAUUGCGAAAACCACAAUGAACAUCUGUCUCCAGAGAUGCGCCAGGCAAUGACUUUUCUGAUGUUGUUCUUCAAGAUCUGGAUAACGUGACCUUUGCAGUAGCCAUGCUGUUUGGACCUUUUUUAUUCCUUCAACAUGAGUUACCCAUCACAACUCUGCUACACUUUUGAGGUGAUUCAAUGGGUGGUAAUGGAGUUGGAUGCAACUCAGCUCUCAAGAAAAGCUCACAACUAAGACAAAACUGCUCCUGCAACGAAGCUCACUGUUAUGCAUGCAAGGUGAUCAGCUCUAGGUGAGAGGACAUUUAAAUCUCACACUUGUUCUGCUGCAUUUUUGAAGCUCAAUUCCAGGAACGGAUCGCAGGGUUCAUUUUUAUAUACUCUGCAACUGCCAUGAGGACGAGCUGUUUUUUGUUGUUGUUUGUUUUUCCUUUUGCUCUGUACAAGUUCUGUUUGUCUGUUUGGCAGCAUUUUUAAAUUUCUCUUUGUAUUUUUUCUUUCUUUUACUAGUGAAGAGAUGUAGCGUGAACAGUUAUACAGUCUAAAUAUCCCAUAUGGGUCGUGUGAAAUGGUAUUUUCAGUUUCAUUCAGUUGAAGUAAAGAACGUUGAAUAUUUCUAAGUGUGCUGUUUUGAACCAAGAUGUCACAGUAUGAUCAGUGCCGUAAUUUUUGACAGUCACUGUAUCAAUGUUAUUUUUGCGUCUCUUGAAUAAAGUUUUUGACCUGCAAGUGCUAAUUUCUUUAGUUAUUGGGGUAAAAUGGGUAGUGUUAAUAGGAAGGUGUUUGCC
ensembl:lncRNA